UCUGAGGACUUGACAGGUAGCACGCACCUGAUGGCAGUCUUUCUGACCCAAGAAUAGUCUGAUUUGGGACUGGGAGGCACCAACAUGCUGCUGGGAACAGUGUAUCUGACCUUUGUUCAACUAUAGGGAUUCCCCAGGUCUCCAGGGAGCCGGACACACCCAACUGCUGCUUCUGCAGGGAUUAGGGCAGUAAUUGCUCUGCAGUGGGGUAUCUAUAGAGGACUAGAGACAGAGAGAGGAGAAAAAAAGAGAAAGAAGAAGCACCGCAGCACUACUCCACUGCUUGUGAAGUUCCCCCCUGCAGGUGUUCCUAUAUGGUGGCUUGAGUCCAGACCCUUGACCACCAGGUUCCAGAUGCUACCAUGAAGCCAACCAGACUUCCCUGUUCAGAUGACCCCGCCAAUGUGUCCUGGAGCUCUGCUUCCCCAGAUCCCUGCCCCAUUAGGGAAAGAGAGGGGCAGGCUGGGAGGAUGGAUCGACCUUUCAACGCCCAUGUUCAGCAGGGGAAGCAAUUACAGAAGCCAGACCUUCCAACUUCUGCACCCCAUGGUGACCCUGGGUCCAUACUCCCAGAGGAGUAAAGAAUAGGAAAGCUAUCAGGGGAGGGGA